rnacentral:miRNA from 1 species
GUGCUGAUUUUCCCACUCCCCUUUUGUCCACUUACACUCCUUUUUGUCUUUUAAUACUUUUUACUCAUACAAGGGAGUGUAAGUGGACAAAAGAGGAGUGGGAAAAUCAGCUCC